AACGAACGCUGGCGGCGUGCCUAACACAUGCAAGUCGCGCGGGAAAGCUCCCUUCGGGGGAGCGAGUAUAGCGGCGCACGGGUGAGUAAUACGUAGGUAACCUGCCCUCGAGACUGGGACAACCUGUCGAAAGACGGGCUAAUACCGGAUAAGACCACGGGAGCUGCGGCUCCCGCGAUAAAAGGUGGCCUCUGCUUGCAAGCUAUCACUUGAGGAUGGGCCUGCGCGCCAUUAGCUAGUUGGUGAGGUAACGGCUCACCAAGGCAGAGAUGGCUAGCUGGUCUGAGAGGAUGACCAGCCACACUGGGACUGAGACACGGCCCAGACUCCUA
rnacentral:rRNA from 1 species